rnacentral:rRNA from 1 species
GCCAGUCAAGCAAGCUAUUCUCGAAGAUUAAGCCAUGUAUGUGCCAAGUUCAAACGUUUAACGUGAGACUGCGGACGGCUCAGUAAAUCAGUGAUAAUCUAUUUGAUUUUCUCUCCCAUUGGAUAACCGUGGGAAAUCUAGAGCUAAUACGUGCGGUAUUUUGACGUUCUUUCGGGUUCGUCAAAGCAUUUAUUAGACUAAACCAGCUAUUAUGUUUACUCAUAGUAAGGUGAAUCUGGAUAACUUUGCUGAUCGUAUGGCCUUGUGCCGGCGACGUUUCAAUUGAGUUUCUGCCCUAUCAACUUGUUGGUAAGGUAUUGGCUUACCAAGGUUGCAACGGGUAACGGGGAAUCAGGGUUCGAUUCCGGAGAGGGAGCCUGAGAAACGGCUACCACAUCCAAGGAAGGCAACAGGCGCGCAAAUUACCCAAUCUAGACAGUAGGAGGUGGUAAAGAGAAUUACUAAAUGGUGGUCCAAUGGAUCAUUUGUUUGGAAUGAACGUAACUUAAGAAAUUCGUUGAUAAACAACUGGAGGGCAAGUCCUGGUGCCAGCAGCCGCGGUAAUUCCAGCUCCAGUAGUUUGCUUUAAAGUUGUUGCGUUUAAAACGCUCGUAGUUGGAUCACGCAGCAGUGUCCAGUUAUCUUUUCUCCGACUCCCGAGGGUGUGUCCGUCACUGACGGCCAUCYGAAGGUUUCGGUACUAGAUGCUAUGCUGGAUGCUGUUAGUUGCACGCGAGAUAGAUUGUUGGCCUUUAAUGUGCCGGUAUUCUCGUCUUGCGGGGUGUGCCUUGAAUAAAACAGAGUGCUUAAAGCAGGUUUUUGCCUGAAUGUUAUAGCAUGGAACGAACAAUCGUGUAUAUGUGCGUGUUGUCGGAUAGUUACGAGCCUUUGGUUUGUAGUUGUCUGCGACGCGCACGGCACCCACCUAAAUAUGGCUGUUGGUUCCAUAUACGGUGAUGAUUAACAGGAGCGGUUGGGGGCAUCAGUAUUUGGCCGCGAGAGGUGAAAUUCUUAGACCGGCCAAGGACUAACAAAUGCAAAGGCACUUGUCUAGACCGUAUCCAUUAAUCAAGAACGAAAGUGGGAGGUUCGAAGACGAUCAGAUACCGUCAUAGUUCCCACCGUAAACUAUGCCGACCUGGGAUCAGUUAGGAGAUAUACAAGCUCCUAAUUGGUCCCCCUGGGAAACCUAAAGUUUUUCGGUUACGGGGAGAGUAUGGUCGCAAGGCUGAAACUUAAAGGAAUUGACGGAAGGGCACCACCAGGGGUGGAGCCUGCGGCUUAAUUUGACUCAACACGGGGAAACUUACCUGGUCCGGACAUCGAUAGGAUUUACAGAUCAAUAGCUCUUUAAUGAUCCGAUGAGUGGUGGUGCAUGGCCGUUCUUAGUUCGUGGAGUGAUCUGUCAGUUUAAUUACGGUAACGAACGAGACCACAGUCUCCAUUUAAAAGAUGAAAGAAGGUGGUGCAUGGAUCGUCGCAAGAUGGCCCAGGUAUUGCUGUCGAAGGUGCAGUGUGUUUUGUGAUUGAUGGAUGGGGUAACCUGUUUGUUGGUUGCAUUGUGUGCUGCAUUUUCCUUUCAUUACGCAGCAGUCGGUUUCGGCCGGGUGUUGCCUUAUGGAGAGACAACGAGGUAUAAACAAGCUCGAGGAAGAGUGGCUAUAACAGGUCAGUGAUGCCCUUCGAUGUUCAGGGCUGCACGCGCGCUACAAUGAUAACGUCAACGAGUGUCUGCGUCGAAAGACGUGGGUAAUCUUUAAUCGUUAUCGUGAUGGGGGAUUGACCGUUGUAAUUGUCGGUCAUGAAAGAGGAAUCCCUAGUAUGCGCAUUUUAUUAGAAUGUGCAGAUUGAGUCCCUGCCCUUUGUACACACCGCCCGUCGCUACUACCGAGUGAAUGGUGUCAUGAUGCGCUGGGAUUGGACGUUUGUUGUGUUUCACGACUCGACCGAUGCUGAGAUCAGCGUAAAAU